rnacentral:rRNA from 1 species
UACAGAUGUCCCAAGCGUUGUUCGGAUUCACUGGGCGUAAAGGGUGCGUAGGCGGUCGGGUAAGUCUGAUGUGAAAUCUCACAGCUUAACUGUGAAACUGCAUUGGAUACUAUCCGGCUCGAGGAAUGGAGGGGAGACUGGAAUACUUGGUGUAGCAGUGAAAUGCGUAGAUAUCAAGUGGAACACCAGUGGCGAAGGCGAGUCUCUGGACAGUUACUGACACUGAGGCACGAAGGCCAGGGGAGCAAACGGG